CUACGGGGUGCACCAGUGAGGAAUAUUGCACAAUGGGGGGAACCCUGAUGCAGCAACGCCGCGUGGAGGAUGACGCAUUUCGGUGUGUAAACUCCUUUUAUAUGUCAAGAAAAUGACGGUAGCAUAUGAAUAAGCACCGGCUAACUCCGUGCCAGCAGCCGCGGUAAUACGGAGGGUGCAAGCGUUACUCGGAAUCACUUGGCGUAAAGGACGCGUAGGCGGGUUGGAAAGUCAGGUGUGAAAUCCUACAGCUUAACUAUAGAACUGCACUUGAAACUUCUAAUCUAGAGUAUGGGAGGGGGAGAUGGAAUUAGUGGUGUAGGGGUAAAAUCCGUAGAUAUCACUAGGAAUACCUAAAGCGAAGGCGAUCUCCUGGAACAUUACUGACGCUAAGGCGUAAAAGCGUGGGGAGCAAACAGGAUUAGAUACCCUAGUAGUC
rnacentral:rRNA from 1 species